CUCCCACAGCUCCCAUCUCCUGGCUGAGCCAGUAUGUUGAUUUUAUUCUUUCCAAAGUGCACCAAAGAUUUACCGUUCCUAGUGCUGAGGACGAGGUCUCAAGUUCAAUGCUCUCCAUCCAUCACUGCGGCUCCUAGAAACCCUACACACUAGUCAGCGCAAGUCUUUUGUAAUUUAAGUAGAGAUGAUCAGAACUCAUUCAUAAUCAUGCAGAAGCCAAAUAAGCUAAGCUGACUGAAGAAGUCCAAGGAUCUGCUUAGCAGAUCUGCAAAUUGUUUUUAAGACAUCGUAUGGUAGGAAAAAAAAAAAAAAAAAAAAAAGUAGGAGCGGAAACUCAAAAGGAUUAAGGGACAGAUGAGAAAAGCUUAAACAACACAAAAAGGCUUCCUGUCUCCUCUGAGGUCUUGUCAACAACCCCAGUCCUCCCCUGCGCCCUCAGUCUGCAGCAGGGUUAAGCCAGCCUCAUAACUGAAGCGUUCCAGUUCUGUAUCCACCCUCCUCACUGAACUCAGUGGGUGAAGUAGGACUAUCCACGUCAUGCUGCCGACCUUGGAAUAAAACCCAGUUUUCCAAAUUAAAAUGAACCAUC
rnacentral:lncRNA from 1 species